rnacentral:rRNA from 1 species
ACUCAAAGGAAUUGACGGGGGCCCGCACAAGCGGUGGAGCAUGUGGAUUAAUACGUCACUAACCGUAGAACCUUACCCAGGCUUGACAUCCCGAGAACCCUUCUGAAAGGAAGGGGUGCCCGCAAGGGAGCUCGGAGACAGGUGUUGCAUGGCUGUCGUCAGCUCGUGUCGUGAGAUGUUGGGUUAAGUCCCGCAACGAGCGCAACCCUCACCGUAUGUUGCCAGCAUUCAGUUGGGCACUCUUACGGAACUGCCCGGGUAACCGGGAGGAAGGUGGGGACGACGUCAAGUCAGCAUGGCCCUUACGCCUGGGGCUUCACACAUGCUACAAUGGCCGGUACAGAGGGUUCCAAGCCCGUGAGGUGGAGGCAAUCCCAAAAAGCCGGUCUCAGUUCGGAUCGCAGGCUGCAACUCGCCUGCGUGAAGUCGGAAUCGCUAGUAACCGCCGGUCAGCUAAACGGCGGUGAAUACGUUCCCGGGCCUUGUACACACCGCCCGU